GAUGAACGCUGGCGGCGUGCCUAAUACAUGCAAGUCGAGCGAACAGACGAGGAGCUUGCUCCUCUGACGUUAGCGGCGGACGGGUGAGUAACACGUGGAUAACCUACCUAUAAGACUGGGAUAACUUCGGGAAACCGGAGCUAAUACCGGAUAAUAUAUUGAACCGCAUGGUUCAAUAGUGAAAGACGGUUUUGCUGUCACUUAUAGAUGGAUCCGCGCCGCAUUAGCUAGUUGGGAAGGUAACGGCUUACCAAGGCAACGAUGCGUAGCCGACCCGAGAGGGUGGUCGGCCACACUGGCACUGAGACACGGUCCAGACUCCUGCGGGAGGCAGCAGUAGGGAAUCUUCCGCGAUGGGCGAGAGCCUGACGGAGCAACGCCGCGUGAGUGAUGAAGGUCUUCGGAUCGUAAAGCUCUGUUAUUAGGGAAGAACAAAUGUGUAAGUAACUGUGCACGUCUUGACGGUACCUGAUCAGAAAGCCACGGCUAACUACGUG
rnacentral:rRNA from 1 species